AUCUAUGGCAAUAUCAGUCUGAAAGUGCCUGAUCUUGUCAGAUCUUAUGAAGCCAUCCAGACUCGGGCCUGGUUAGCACUUGUAUGGGAGACCUACUAGGAACCUCAGGUGCUGUAACGG